rnacentral:rRNA from 1 species
UACGUAGGGUGCAGGCGUUAAUCGGAAUUACUGGGCGUAAAGCGUGCGCAGGCGGUUUGCUAAGACAGGUGUGAAAUCCCCGGGCUUAACCUGGGAACUGCGCUUGUAACUGGCAAGCUAGAGUGUGGCAGAGGGAUGCAGAAUUCCAGGUGUAGCGGUGAAAUGCGUAGAUAUCUGGAGGAAUACCGGUGGCGAAGGCGGCAUCCUGGACCGGCAUUGACGCUGAGGAGCGAAAGCCAGGGGAGCAAACGGG